rnacentral:rRNA from 1 species
GACGAACGCUGGCGGCGUGCUUAACACAUGCAAGUCGAACGGAAAGGCCCUGCUUUUGUGGGGUGCUCGAGUGGCGAACGGGUGAGUAACACGUGAGUAACCUGCCCUUGACUUUGGGAUAACUUCAGGAAACUGGGGCUAAUACCGGAUAGGAGCUCCUGCUGCAUGGUGGGGGUUGGAAAGUUUCGGCGGUUGGGGAUGGACUCGCGGCUUAUCAGCUUGUUGGUGGGGUAGUGGCUUACCAAGGCUUUGACGGGUAGCCGGCCUGAGAGGGUGACCGGCCACAUUGGGACUGAGAUACGGGCCAGACUCCUACGGGAGGCAGCAGUGGGGAAUAUUGCACAAUGGGCGGAAGCCUGAUGCAGGAACGCCGCGUGGGGGAUGACGGCCUUCGGGUUGUAAACCGCUUUCGCCUGUGACGAAGCGUGAGUGACGGUAAUGGGUAAAGAAGCACCGGCUAACUACGUG